GGAAGCUAUUAAGAAUACAAACAACAAUAAUUGUUGGCAAGGAUGUGGGGAAAAAGGGACACUCAUACAUUGCUGGUGGGACUGCAAUUGGUGCAACCAAUAUGGAAAGUAGUAUGGAGAUUUCUUGGAAAACUUGGAAUGGAGCCACCAUUUGACUCAGCUAUUCCACUCCUCAGUUUAUACCCAAAGGACUUAAAAACAGUAU
rnacentral:lncRNA from 1 species